AUUUAGUUGGUUCUGUAGUUUAUAGUUCUACAAAAGAAAGGAUUCAGUUGAUUCUCAAUGAAGGUUGAUUCUUCGCACUCUGAAGAUAAUGAUCAAUGAAUAUUACAAAGGUUGCAUAGAAAUGAAACAUUCUAAUAUAGGGUAACUUGCUUAGUUCUCUAUCAACUCAUGCUUUCAGGGACUCAAUAAACCCCUUUGUGAAGCAAGCUGUGCAAUAUGCUAUAGCUGCAUUCAAGGUAAUACUCUCUGAAAAGGAGAAAUUACAAAAACUACUUCUACAAGGUCUUGAUAUUACAAUCUUGGGAAGCAAUGAUUUCUAUUCUUGCAGAGAUCAGGGAAGAUACAUCUGUGUAUGGUUUGUAAGAAGACUUUGUAGCUGAGCAGCUAUUUCAGAGUUCUGAACAUGCUUUAGAUGAUUUGCUAUGGACUGAUCAUUCUGUUCUUUCUUCAAUGAAGGAUCAAGAUGCUAAUUUUGUUCAUCAAUCUUUUUGCGAAGGAAGGGGAGCCUUAGAGCAAUGGUAAAGUUGUUGCCAUGUGACCAAAAGGUCACGAGUUCAAAUCCUGGAGACAGCCUCUUGUAAAAAGCAGGAUUGCUGCAACCUGGCAUUUGUCAUACUUCUGCUCUGAGUGCCACUUUACUAGAGCACAAGAAAUACAUGUCUGAAUUUGAGUUCCAUUCUUGCACAAAAGGUUCUACUGCAUAGCUUUCCUGACCAAGUGUGUGAUCUGUUUCUUUUUUUGACAUAGGGAACUGCUAACAACACAGUUGCUACAGUCCAUUUCUGGAAGUCCUUUUGCACUCAAUUUUUACACCACUUGUGUCAGUACAGUACACCAACGCUGCCUUCGUUGAUGCUUCAAUGGAUGUAGUUGCUUUGAUCAGGAAAAACUCAAUUUAUUCUGAUCUUUGGAGGGAAUUGAACAGCUUAUAUAUGGUUGGUUACAUGGUGUUUGAAAUUUUGUCAUGGUUUGCUUAAUACUUGAUCAGUUCUGAUUAUCAUGUUUGUGAUGAAUUUCACAAUUGACGAAGUUCUUGGACUCAAGACAAAGAUAUUGAUUCUGAACUACUACUUGAAAUGCUUAGAUGCAUGAGCCACAUACGCCAUCAAUUAGGCAGAGCUGCUGGUGCAUUAUAUUAUGAAUCUGUUGUCAAUCCAGUCACCUCAUCGGAAGAUAUAGUUUCUCAGCUAUUAAAGAUUAUAGAAUAUGGAUAUUCUUCUUCAAUGACACCUCUUAUACAACAAAUUGGAAUUGAUGCUACUUGGACAAAGCAACAAACAGCUCACAGAAGUCAGAGGAAAUUUGCAGUUGAUAUGUUGAUCUCUCUGAAUUCAUUAUGUUCAAGAGCAACAAACUGGGCUGGGGUUUUAGAUACCAUAGAGAAGUUCCUGCCCUAUCUGGACCUGCAUAGUAACAUUAAGACAGUUGAUUCAAAAUCCAUCUACAAUGUCAAUUCUGUCCUAUUGAUCCAGGCUAACAUCACAAGUUGCAAGAGUAAUGUUUGAGACUGCAUUUGAUUCACUGUUACUGCUUCGCUACACUAGACUGCUUGUGAGAUUAUUCUCCAAUUGUGAGUGACAAGGAUAAACCCAUUCUAACAAUGCAGUUAUAUAGAUUCAAACUCCUGCACUUACCCAUUCUAACAAUGCGGUUAUAUAAAUUCAAACUCCUGUACUUUGGUGGAAGGACCUUCGGACUUAGUUCACUUACCACUAGAGCAAAUAAUCAUGAAGCUUUAUCUUUAUUGCUCUUUAUUGCUGCCUUUUUAGUUUUUUGUACAAUGCAUUAUUGAUUGUUACUUGUUUGUGUAGUGGUGAUCUAGAUAUUUUAAUAUGGCAGACUUGGUCGCCACUUGUAAUUUUUAUGUCUGCAUAGCUUUAGGACGUAUGGAAA